rnacentral:rRNA from 1 species
CCUACGGGAGGCAGCAGUAAGGAAUAUUGGUCAAUGGACGAAAGUCUGAACCAGCCAUGCCGCGUGAAGGAUUAAGGCCCUCUGGGUUGUAAACUUCUUUUAUCUGGGACGAAAAAAGGGUAUUCUUACUCACUUGACGGUACCAGAGGAAUAAGCACCGGCUAACUCCGUGCCAGCAGCCGCGGUAAUACGGAGGGUGCAAGCGUUAUCCGGAUUUACUGGGUUUAAAGGGUGCGUAGGUGGGCUUGUAAGUCAGUGGUGAAAUCUCCGGGCUUAACCCGGAAACUGCCAUUGAUACUAUAGGUCUUGAAUUAUCUGGAGGUAAGCGGAAUAUGUCAUGUAGCGGUGAAAUGCUUAGAUAUGACAUAGAACACCAAUUGCGAAGGCAGCUUACUACGGAUACAUUGACACUGAGGCACGAAAGCGUGGGGAUCAAACAGGAUUAGAUACCCUGGUAGUCCACGCCCUAAACGAUGGAUACUCGACAUCAGCGAUACACUGUUGGUGUCUGAGCGAAAGCAUUAAGUAUCCCACCUGGGAAGUACGAUCGCAAGAUUGAAACUCAAAGGAAUUGACGGCUGAGACGNGCGACGACGACGACGAGGGAGGAGG